rnacentral:rRNA from 1 species
GACACUGCGCCGAAAAUGUACCGGGGCUAAACAUAUUACCGAAGCUGUGGAUUGUCCUUUGGACAAUGGUAGGAGAGCGUUCUAAGGGCGUUGAAGCAUGAUCGUAAGGACAUGUGGAGCGCUUAGAAGUGAGAAUGCCGGUGUGAGUAGCGAAAGACGGGUGAGAAUCCCGUCCACCGAUUGACUAAGGUUUCCAGAGGAAGGCUCGUCCGCUCUGGGUUAGUCGGGUCCUAAGCUGAGGCCGACAGGCGUAGGCGAUGGAUAACAGGUUGAUAUUCCUGUACCACCUAUAAUCGUUUUAAUCGAUGGGGGGACGCAGUAGGAUAGGCGAAGCGUGCGAUUGGAUUGCACGUCUAAGCAGUAAGGCUGAGUAUUAGGCAAAUCCGGUACUCGUUAAGGCUGAGCUGUGAUGGGGAGAAGACAUUGUGUCUUCGAGUCGUUGAUUUCACACUGCCGAGAAAAGCCUCUAGAUAGAAAAUAGGUGCCCGUACCGCAAACCGACACAGGUAGUCAAGAUGAGAAUUCUAAGGUGAGCGAGCGAACUCUCGUUAAGGAACUCGGCAAAAUGACCCCGUAACUUCGGGAGAAGGGGUGCUCUUUAGGGUUAACGCCCAGAAGAGCCGCAGUGAAUAGGCCCAAGCGACUGUUUAUCAAAAACACAGGUCUCUGCUAAACCGUAAGGUGAUGUAUAGGGGCUGACGCCUGCCCGGUGCUGGAAGGUUAAGAGGAGUGGUUAGCUUCUGCGAAGCUACGAAUCGAAGCCCCAGUAAACGGCGGCCGUAACUAUAACGGUCCUAAGGUAGCGAAAUUCCUUGUCGGGUAAGUUCCGACCCGCACGAAAGGCGUAACGAUUUGGGCACUGUCUCAACGAGAGACUCGGUGAAAUCAUAGUACCUGUGAAGAUGCAGGUUACCCGCGACAGGACGGAAAGACCCCGUGGAGCUUUACUGUAGCCUGAUAUUGAAAUUCGGCACAGCUUGUACAGGAUAGGUAGGAGCCUUUGAAACGUGAGCGCUAGCUUACGUGGAGGCGCUGGUGGGAUACUACCCUAGCUGUGUUGGCUUUCUAACCCGCACCACUUAUCGUGGUGGGAGACAGUGUCA